ACUUAUUUUCAUUUGAAAAAUGUUACAUGUUGUAUGUGGCAUUGCAUGUUCUAUGUGGUGUCUCUUGCUACUGGUUAUUACUGAAGCCGAGACUAUCCAGGGUCAGGGCUUGAGCUCUAAAAAGCAGCGGUUCUGGGACUGGCCUUCACCCCUUAGGCAGUGCUGCUGUGACAUCAGCUGACCUCUCUUGCCAUCAGGUUUGGGUCAUGUGCUUUUUUGUAAUGCUCUGGGGUGGAAACCAUUGAGCUCCUUAGUGUUAAACAGACCACACGUCUUCUCAGUGAGAUUAGAUUUUGGUUAUAAAUGAAGCCUAUCAUCUGGUUUCUGAGUGGAGGCUGUGAGUGUGGGGUUAACCCUGAUAACACUGGUAUCCUCCUGAACCAAGCAGUCCCAAGAGCACCUGAGCUGUACCUCUCCUGAGUGUUUUUCAGAUUAAAACAAAUUCUUACCAGGAGGAUGUUUUUGGGUAGGAUCACGACUAGGCUGGCUCUGUAGGUGAAGAGUAACAAGCUGGUUAUUGGUUUUAAGCGUGGGGAUUUUUCUUUUUCCUUCUUUUUUUUUUAAGUAAACUUCACUCCCAGUGUUAGGCUCAGACUCACACCCUCAGGAACAAUAGUCGUAUGUCAUGGACUGAGCCAUCCAGGCACCCCAAAGCGUGUGGAUUUUUCACAGCACGUAACUCAUCAGUGUUUACCUCAUAAUCCGAGCAUGAUUUAAGAGAAAGUGAAAAUCUGAAUUUGUUUCUAUUUCAGUAUUGUCCAGAGGACCGUAAGUACUGGUGAAUUCAUUAUGGAUAUUUGAUGCCCAGGAAAGAAAUCUUGAUCAAGUUCGUAAUAUUUUUUCUUUCUUUUCUUUUCUUUCUUUCUUUCUUUUUUUUUUUUUUUUUUUUUGAGCUAUUAUUUAGAAAGCAGGUUAUAUACCUGUUAGAUCAUGGAGUACCAUACAGACUCAGUGAGUGCCAUUAGCGAGUUGGGGUGCUCUCACCCUCCCUGUCCGUCACUGGGCAUGUGGAGGGCGCCAUUGUUGCCUGUCCUCCGUCUGGAAUGACCGUAUUCUUUCCUUGCAUUUCGAUAGUCAUUUAACACUUCUUAUUUUCUACCUUAUUAGUAUUACUCUCUGCCUUAUUAGUAUUACUCUCAUUUUUGUAUGUAUUUGUGAAUCCCUUGACUUUGCUAAAUCCUUAAAUUCACAAGUACAAUUACACCUGCAUUGCUCACAUGAAGUAGAGUAUAACUGAAAAGCCUAAGAGACCACUUCAGACCUGUAGUGAUUGAAAAAGGACUAGAGCCAUAAAGUAAUAAUUUGUUAACUUAGUAUGAAUGAACUGCUCUGUCUUUACUGCACUGUCAUUAUAUAUUAGGAGGAUUUCAACAGCCUUACCCUCUAAUACCUUAGGGUUGGUAAAACAAGUCAGGCUUGAUCCUACAAUCUGCCUCAACCACAGAGGAGUCAUUUGGCCCUUGGCCAUCACCAGCUUUUAUCUUGGCCUCUCCUUCUUGGAUUAGUUGACAAAAGCUUUUUUUUUUUUUUUUUUUUUUUUUUCCCCAAGGCAGUUUGGUUCGUGUUGAGCCUGUCUAGCUGUUAGCCCUGGUCUCAGUCUCCUCACCUUGUGAGGCAGUGCACUACCAAAGCUGUGGGGUUGCCUGUGUUGUGUGCGGUCUCUCACACACACACAAUAUACAUAUCUUUCAGGGCAAAUGAAAUGCUUUUUCAGUUUUCACCUAGGUUGUCUAUAGGUCUUGAAAAAGGUUUGUGUUCUCUAUAGCUACAGUAUCCAGUGUGGUAGCUAAUGGGUGUACAUGGCUUAUUUACAUUUAAAUAAGUAAAAUCAGUUUCUCACCCCCCACUUCAAGUGUUCCGUAGCUGUUUGUGACUAGCGGCUGCUAUCUUGGAACAGCUUUAUAAACUUAGAUAGUUUAGCUAUAAGAAUAUCCAUCAUUACAGAAAAUUCUGUUGGACCGUACUGGACUAGACACUCACUAAGGCAGCUUUAGGAGCCACUUGGUUCGCAUGUAGAUAGAGUAUGUGCUGGGACCAUUUGUAUCACAGAUUGAAGCCAUUUUUUAAUUCACAUGUUCACAUAUUGCUCCAAACCCCAUUUCUGAUGUCUGGCAACAAAACCAUUGCUUUAGUGUACUUCCUGAUUUUUCUCUUCACUUCGAUCAGCAUCAUUAGCAGGUGACUUUUUUCAGAGCCAUCUGUCACAAUGAAAGCUUUUAUUACACAAGUCACAGUAUUGAAAAUAAGUUGCAAAUCAUUGAAUCGCACUGUACUACGGAUGCUGGUGGUAGUUCCCGGCCUCAUUCGCUCCUGACUCUCAGGGAGAGGGAUUCAGAUCCGUGCUCAGCAAUGUUGCAUAUUACUACAUGUUUAGGACCUCUCGGGUCAUUCAUGAUAAGGCAUAACUGUGAGGCUGUAUCAGUGAAGGCCCAGGGGUUUUUCUGUGUUAUUUAACCUCAGUGUAAGCACAUGGUUCUUCAGGAUUGAGCCAUGCUGAGUUUUUCAUGAACUUUUGUGUGUCCCACACAAUGUCUUACUCAGAGUAGACAGUAAAUAUUUUGAUUGAAUAAAUUAGACAGCAGUUAAACAUGAAAUUAUAUGGUUUCUGAAUGGUAAGAACUAUUAUAGUUCGGGAAAAGGAGAGUGGUAUGAGCUAGAAUAGUUGAAAUGAGAAAGUUGUCAUCAGCCACAUAACUGGUUAGAUGUUAUGGUUCCAAAGCCAGUGCACAGUGACCUGUGUUUAUCUCCUUUAUUUAUCCAAUAAUUACUUUUAAAUAUUUCUUCAUCCCUACCAUGUGCCAGGCAUUGAACGAGGUAUUGGGGCAGUAGUGAUGAGUAGGACAAACAAAAGUCUCUGCCCUCAUGACUCUUACAAACAAAUUGAUAUAAAUAUCGGUAGUCAUGAGUGCUGUGAAGGCAGACAGAACAGGAAGUGGGUCGGGAGCCUGGGCAGGGCGGGGCUCUGUAGAUGGGGAAUCCUUGAAGGGCUCUGAACGGCCGACCUGAGUGUGAAUGAAGGGUAGACGGGAUCACAGAAACGUCGGGAGAGGAACAUGCCAAGCAGAAGCAGAUGGGAGGGUUCGGCCGUGGAGAACAAGUUCGGCAGGACUGAGGACUUGCCCCACUGGCUGGAACUGAGCAAGAGGGGUUCCCUUUGCCCCCUUAGAAAGCUGGAAUAUGGCAUGUGUGCAGAGGAGGAGCAUGAUCAGGAGAGGCAGAGGGAGAAGAGAGAGCAUCUCAAGCAGACUCCUCACUGAGCACAGAGCCUCGCAUGGGGCUGGAUCCCAUGGCCCUGAGAUCCUGACCUGAGCCGAAAUCAGGAGUUGGAUGCUCGGGCGCCCUUGGAAAGCAGUGCAUUUUGAAGGAAAUAAAACAUUUGGUUUUGAUUAUGUUA